rnacentral:rRNA from 1 species
CCUACGGGGUGCAGCAGUGAGGAAUAUUGGUCAAUGGACGAGAGUCUGAACCAGCCAAGUAGCGUGAAGGAUGACUGCCCUCUGGGUUGUAAACUUCUUUUAUAUGGGAAUAAAAUGUUCCACGUGUGGGAUUUUGUAUGUACCAUAUGAAUAAGGAUCGGCUAACUCCGUGCCAGCAGCCGCGGUAAUACGGAGGAUCCGAGCGUUAUCCGGAUUUAUUGGGUUUAAAGGGAGCGUAGGUGGAUUGUUAAGUCAGUUGUGAAAGUUUGCGGCUCAACCGUAAAAUUGCAGUUGAAACUGGCAGUCUUGAGGACAGUAGAGGUGGGCGGAAUUCGUGGUGUAGCGGUGAAAUGCUUAGAUAUCACGAAGAACUCCGAGUGCGAAGGCAGUUCACUGGACUGCAACUGACACUGAGGCUCGAAAGUGUGGGUAUCAAACAGGAUUAGAUACCCUAGUAGUC